AGUGAGCGGCAAGAGCUCAGAUUUGAAAUCGUGUUUCGGCACGAGUUGUAGAGUGUAGGCGGGAGUCUCUGUGGAGCGCGGUGUCCAAGUCCCUUGGAACAGGGUGCCUGAGAGGGUGAGAGCCCCGUAGGGUGCUGCGCGAAGCUUUUGAGGCCCUGCUGACGAGUCGAGUUGUUUGGGAAUGCAGCUCCAAGCGGGUGGUAAAUUCCAUCUAAGGCUAAAUAUUGGCGAGAGACCGAUAGCGAACAAGUACUGUGAAGGAAAGAUGAAAAGCACUUUGAAAAGAGAGUGAAACAGCACGUGAAAUUGUUGAAAGGGAAGGGUAUUGGGCUCGACAUGGGGGGUGCGCACCGCUGUCUCUUGUAGGCGGCGCUCUGGGCGCCCUCUGGGCCAGCAUCGGUUCCUGCUGCGGGAGAAGGGGCUCCGGAAGUGGCUCUUCGGAGUGUUAUAGCCCGGGGCCAGAUGCCGCGUGUGGGGACCGAGGACUGCGGCUUCUGUCUC
rnacentral:rRNA from 1 species